UACGUAGGGUGCAAGCGUUAAUCGGAAUUACUGGGCGUAAAGCGUGCGCAGGCGGUGAUGUAAGACAGGUGUGAAAUCCCCGGGCUUAACCUGGGAACUGCAUUUGUGACUGCAUCGCUGGAGUGCGGCAGAGGGGGAUGGAAUUCCGCGUGUAGCAGUGAAAUGCGUAGAUAUCGGGAGGAACACCAGUGGCGAAGGCGAUCACCUGGGGUUGUUCUGACGCUGAGGAGCGAAAGCUAGGGGAGCAAACGGG
rnacentral:rRNA from 1 species